rnacentral:lncRNA from 1 species
AAAAAAAAAAGAGGAAAAUUGGACACCACACAUAAAGGGAAGACCAUGUGAAGUUAUAGAAGAAGACUGCCAUCUCAACAAGCCAAGGAAAGAGGCCUGAGGAGAAACCAACCCUGCUGACACCUUGGUCUUGGACUUCAAGCCUCCAGAAUGGUGACAAAAUUAGUUUCUGUUGUUUAAGCCAUCCAGUCUGGGAUACUUUGUUAUGACAGCCCUAGCAAUCUAAUACAUUCACCAAUGGCUCCCAAUUUCACCCAGAUAAAAAGCCAAAGUUCUUACUCAAACUUACCAACCCUAAACUUAGCAAACUUGGUGUCCACUCCUUGGAAACUUGUUCAGCCAACUGGAAGGCUGGAGAAUUCCCCCUGUUAGGUGGAAACUGGAUCAAUAGAGUUAGUGUUGCAACAAGAAACAUCCAACAUUGGAAAGAAAACUAACCUUAAUGAUUUAAUAACUAAAGAUCUCAUCUCAGAAAGUUUAGCCAACUCUGUCUCCUUCCCUUUGUGAUGCUCUGCCCCUCCAUGGAGAUCAUGGGAACAAUUCUUAAGCUCUUUGUAGACUGGGCAAGGACACAUAAAUCCCCUAAGUCAGAACUGGGUAUCAAUGGUGGGUUAAGGGCUGAAAUAUAGAAACAUGUGCAAUUAUUUGAUGGUUUAUGGCUCAUUUCAACCAAAAGACCAUUCCUAGCCCAUUUGCACUGUUUUCAUUGAGAUGUCAAAAGUGCUGAAAGGAGGCUGGGAAAACUGGUUGGCUCCUGUCUGGGGCAGGCAGCUGAUAGAGGAAAUUAGCUGGUUCCUAUAAUUGGCACUGUAGCUCCCAAUGAAGAGAGGGCAGACAGAUUUAAAUGAGCUGUUUUUGGGAGGAGGUGGGGAAGGAAAGGAGAGAUGAUUUGGGUGGAGAGCAUACAUGAAGAUGUAGGGGAGGCUGGACGCAGUGGCUCACAACUGUAAUGCCAGCACUUUGGGAGGCCAAGGCAGGCAGAUCACCUGAGGUCAGGAGUUUGAGACCAGCCUGGCCAACAUGGUGAAACCUCGUGUCUACUAAAAAUACAAAAAAAUCGGACCAGCCUGGCCAACAUGGUGAAACCCUGUCUCUGCUAAAAAUUAGCUGGGUAUGGUGGUUCACACCUAUAAUUUCAGCUACUCGGGAAGCUGAGGCAGGAUAAUCAGUUGGAUCUGGGAGGUGGAAGUUGUGGUGAGCCGAGAUCACAUCACUGCACUCCAGCCUGGAUGAUAGAGUGAGACUCCAUCUCAAAAAAAAAAAAAAAAAAAAAAGAUGUAGUGGAUGUUGUUGGUGCCAUCCAGAUCCUGUUCAUCUGCUGUCUCAGUCAGCUCAAGCUACCAAAAAGUACCACUAGCUUUGGCUUAAACAACAGAAAUGUGUUUUCUCAUAGCUCUGGUGGCUAGAAGUCCAAGAUCAAGGCACGUGCAGGAUGGGUUUCUUCUGAGUCUCUCUCUUUGGCUUGCAGAUGGCCAUAGUCUCUCUGUGUCCUCAAAUGGUCUUUCUUCUGUGCAUAUGUAUUCCUGGUGUCUCUCUGUGUGUCCUAAUUCCUCUUCUUAUAAGGAUAUCAGUCAGACUGGAUUAGGGGCCAACCUAACAGCCUCAUUUUAAGUUAAUUACCUCUUUAAAGGCGCUGUCGGCCGGGCGCGG